AUCUGGGCGGCGGAAUUCAGGAUGGCUGCCGCGUUUCCGCGCGUCGGUCGUUUGAUAUUUCCGUCGCCGAUCACCCGCAGACGUCGCGACCUGUUCGCGGUCGGUCCCUGCUUGGAGGAGCCGCGUUCGAGCUCGUUGCGUGUCGCGUUUCGGCGUGUCACGCGGCGAAGACGCGGAUCUCUGGCUGGCCGUCGGACAGUAUGCUCAACGGUGUCCGGUGUCGCUUUCGCGCGUGCACCGGUACCGGUCAGCGACGAAUUCUUCGGGCCUCUUUCCGACCCGUCUUGAAACACGGACCAAGGAGUCUAACAUGCGCGCGAGUCGCGGGGUGUCGAGCGUACUCCGGUACGUUCGUUACGUUGCGAAACCCGUACAUGUCGAAGGCGUAAUGAAAGUGAAUGGGGAAGAUGGUGUUCCGAGUACACGUUCCGCGAUCGUCGGUAUCGCGGCCGGACACCCGCAUUCCCGGGGCGUCUCAACGGCCCGUCGCCGAUGCGGACAGUCGUCUCUCGGGGCGGCUGUCGGUCGGCGACGAACCGA
rnacentral:rRNA from 1 species